rnacentral:piRNA from 1 species
CGGUCCUUGGGUUUACAGCUCCGGCCCU